rnacentral:rRNA from 1 species
GGGUUGUGAGGUUAAGCGACUAAGCGUACACGGUGGAUGCCCUGGCAGUCAGAGGCGAUGAAGGGCGUGCUAAUCUGCGAUAAGCGCCGGUAAGGUGAUAUGAACCGUUAUAACCGGCGAUACCCGAAUGGGGAAACCCAGUGUGAUUCGUCACACUAUCAUUAACUGAAUCCAUAGGUUAAUGAGGCGAACCGGGGGAACUGAAACAUCUAAGUACCCCGAGGAAAAGAAAUCAACCGAGAUUCCCCCAGUAGCGGCGAGCGAACGGGGAGGAGCCCAGAGCCUGAAUCAGCAUGUGUGUUAGUGGAAGCGUCUGGAAAGGCGCGCGAUACAGGGUGACAGCCCCGUACACAAAAGCGCAUGUGCUGUGAGCUCGAUGAGUAGGGCGGGACACGUGGUAUCCUGUCUGAAUAUGGGGGGACCAUCCUCCAAGGCUAAAUACUCCUGACUGACCGAUAGUGAACCAGUACCGUGAGGGAAAGGCGAAAAGAACCCCGGCGAGGGGAGUGAAAAAGAACCUGAAACCGUGUACGUACAAGCAGUGGGAGCACAGGUUUACCUGUGUGACUGCGUACCUUUUGUAUAAUGGGUCAGCGACUUAUAUUCUGUAGCAAGGUUAACCGAAUAGGGGAGCCGGAGGGAAACCGAGUCUUAAUUGGGCGUUAAGUUGCAGGGUAUAGACCCGAAACCCGGUGAUCUAGCCAUGGGCAGGUUGAAGGUUGGGUAACACUAACUGGAGGACCGAACCGACUAAUGUUGAAAAAUUAGCGGAUGACCUGUGGCUGGGGGUGAAAGGCCAAUCAAACCGGGAGAUAGCUGGUUCUCCCCGAAAGCUAUUUAGGUAGCGCCUCGUGAAUUCAUCUCCGGGGGUAGAGCACUGUUUCGGCUAGGGGGCCAUCCCGGCUUACCAACCCGAUGCAAACUGCGAAUACCGGAGAAUGUUAUCACGGGAGACACACGGCGGGUGCUAACGUCCGUCGUGAAGAGGGAAACAACCCAGACCGCCAGCUAAGGUCCCAAAGUCAUGGUUAAGUGGGAAACGAUGUGGGAAGGCCCAGACAGCCAGGAUGUUGGCUUAGAAGCAGCCAUCAUUUAAAGAAAGCGUAAUAGCUCACUGGUCGAGUCGGCCUGCGCGGAAGAUGUAACGGGGCUAAACCAUGCACCGAAGCUGCGGCAGCGACGCUGAUGCGUUGUUGGGUAGGGGAGCGUUCUGUAAGCCUGUGAAGGUGUGUCGUGAGGCAUGCUGGAGGUAUCAGAAGUGCGAAUGCUGACAUAAGUAACGAUAAAGCGGGUGAAAAGCCCGCUCGCCGGAAGACCAAGGGUUCCUGUCCAACGUUAAUCGGGGCAGGGUGAGUCGACCCCUAAGGCGAGGCCGAAAGGCGUAGUCGAUGGGAAACGGGUUAAUAUUCCCGUACUUGGUGUUACUGCGAAGGGGGGACGGAGAAGGCUAUGUUGGCCGGGCGACGGUUGUCCCGGUUUAAGCGUGUAGGUGUGUGUUCCAGGUAAAUCCGGUUCACUUUAACACUGAGGCGUGACGACGAGGCACUACGGUGCUGAAGCAACAAAUGCCCUGCUUCCAGGAAAAGCCUCUAAGCAUCAGGUAACAUCAAAUCGUACCCCAAACCGACACAGGUGGUCAGGUAGAGAAUACCAAGGCGCUUGAGAGAACUCGGGUGAAGGAACUAGGCAAAAUGGUGCCGUAACUUCGGGAGAAGGCACGCUGACACGUAGGUGAAGUGAUUUACUCAUGGAGCUGAAGUCAGUCGAAGAUACCAGCUGGCUGCAACUGUUUAUUAAAAACACAGCACUGUGCAAACACGAAAGUGGACGUAUACGGUGUGACGCCUGCCCGGUGCCGGAAGGUUAAUUGAUGGGGUCAGCGCAAGCGAAGCUCCUGAUCGAAGCCCCGGUAAACGGCGGCCGUAACUAUAACGGUCCUAAGGUAGCGAAAUUCCUUGUCGGGUAAGUUCCGACCUGCACGAAUGGCGUAAUGAUGGCCAGGCUGUCUCCACCCGAGACUCAGUGAAAUUGAACUCGCUGUGAAGAUGCAGUGUACCCGCGGCAAGACGGAAAGACCCCGUGAACCUUUACUAUAGCUUGACACUGAACAUUGAGCCUUGAUGUGUAGGAUAGGUGGGAGGCUUUGAAGUGUGGACGCCAGUCUGCAUGGAGCCGACCUUGAAAUACCACCCUUUAAUGUUUGAUGUUCUAACGUGGACCCGUAAUCCGGGUUGCGGACAGUGUCUGGUGGGUAGUUUGACUGGGGCGGUCUCCUCCUAAAGAGUAACGGAGGAGCACGAAGGUUGGCUAAUCCUGGUCGGACAUCAGGAGGUUAGUGCAAUGGCAUAAGCCAGCUUGACUGCGAGCGUGACGGCGCGAGCAGGUGCGAAAGCAGGUCAUAGUGAUCCGGUGGUUCUGAAUGGAAGGGCCAUCGCUCAACGGAUAAAAGGUACUCCGGGGAUAACAGGCUGAUACCGCCCAAGAGUUCAUAUCGACGGCGGUGUUUGGCACCUCGAUGUCGGCUCAUCACAUCCUGGGGCUGAAGUAGGUCCCAAGGGUAUGGCUGUUCGCCAUUUAAAGUGGUACGCGAGCUGGGUUUAGAACGUCGUGAGACAGUUCGGUCCCUAUCUGCCGUGGGCGCUGGAGAACUGAGGGGGGCUGCUCCUAGUACGAGAGGACCGGAGUGGACGCAUCACUGGUGUUCGGGUUGUCAUGCCAAUGGCACUGCCCGGUAGCUAAAUGCGGAAGAGAUAAGUGCUGAAAGCAUCUAAGCACGAAACUUGCCCCGAGAUGAGUUCUCCCUGAGACUUAGAGUCUCCUGAAGGAACGUUGAAGACGACGACGUUGAUAGGCCGGGUGUGUAAGCGCAGCGAUGCGUUGAGCUAACCGGUACUAAUGAACCGUGAGGCUUAACCUUACAACGCCGAAG